UUAUAACAUCUCAUGGUGCAAUUGAACCAGAUAAGGACAACAUCCGUCUAGAGCCAUAUUCUUUACCACAGGGUUUUACAUGGGACACUUUGGAUCUGAGCAAUGCUGAAGUUCUAAAGGAGUUAUACAUGUUGCUAAACGAGAAUUAUGUAGAAGAUGACGAUAAUAUGUUUAGAUUUGACUACUCACCAGACUUUCUCUUGUGGGCAUUAAGGCCUCCAGGCUGGCUUCCACAAUGGCACUGUGGAGUCAGAGUAUCAUCCAAUAGAAAACUGGUAGGGUUCAUAAGCGCUAUUCCUGCACAUA